UCUUCCUUACAAAAGAACUGUGCUAAAACUGUGAAAUCCAUUUAAUGGAUUUGACAGUAAUGCUAGCAGAGUAUAAACGGGAAGAAGAGUAUUUGCACUGUACUGCAAAAGAGACUUGGUUGGACCUCUUUCUUAAUGUCCAGUGUCCAUGUUCUCAAGGUCCAGUGCUACAUUC
ensembl:snoRNA